rnacentral:tRNA from 1 species
GGGGAUAUAGCUCAGUGGGAGAGUGCUUGCCUAACAUGUGAGGCCCUGGGUUCAAUUCCCAGUAUCACAA